CAGGUUCUGUCGCAUACAUUUAUGGAUACUUAAAGUACGCAAUGAAUCUUUUCAAAGUAAAAUUAGUCGAAAUUACGUGAUCUAUGUUCUGUUUUAUUGAGAGUGUUAUUUGUGAUAAUCUAAAAUCUAAAUCGAAGGAAGGAGGAAUAAUCUUCAUUAGUAUAAGUCUGGAUACGAUCUGAACCAAAAUAGCAUUUUACUAUUGAUUAUUUAUCAAAUUAUGUUGAUGAACAAAUUCAUUCAGGAAAAAAGAUGUUUGAUAUUUGUUCAAAACGCCGGCUAAAAUGCACAUUUCCAGUGAAGGGUUAAGAGGAUUCUUCAUGUCAAGGUUAUAUUAACAAGGAAAUGAAAAAUCUUCUUUUAGAUAGUAAUCUGAAAAAUAAUUGUUAGAUUACGUAAUUGAGUUAUCCAAUACUUCCCGAUUUAAAUGACUAUUGUUAUUGAAAACUAUUAAAUAAUUUAUGUCAUAACGGACACUGCCACAUGACAUGAGUUAGAUAUUGCUCCAAACAACCGCACUGACAUCUCGGAUCGACAAUAAUAUUAAUUCGCCUGAAGGAUUAAUAAAAGUUCGCGUAUCUAGAAGAACGCUUAACGUCUCUCAGCAUUUAGCAGCAAAAAAGACUGUGUUAUUUCGAUGGAAUAAAGUGAUAAAGUUAAGUGCAUCGAAGUAAUGAUACCUAAACUGCUUUCGUA